rnacentral:rRNA from 1 species
GUGAGGAAUUUUCCGCAAUGGGCGAAAGCCUGACGGAGCAAUGCCGCGUGAAGGAUGAAGGCCUAUGGGUUGUAAACUUCUUUUCUCAGAAAAGAAUUAUGACGGUAUCUGAGGAAUAAGCAUCGGCUAACUCUGUGCCAGCAGCCGCGGUAAGACAGAGGAUGCAAGCGUUAUCCGGAAUGAUUGGGCGUAAAGCGUCUGUAGGUUGUUUAAAAAGUAUUCUGUCAAAGAUUAGGGCUUAACCCUAGAUAGGCAGAAUAAACUUUUAAGCUAGAGUUUGGUAGAGGCAGAGGGAAUUCCCAGUGGAGCGGUGAGAUGCGUAGAUAUCGGGAGGAACACCAAAGGCGAAGGCACACUGAUGGGCCAAUACUAACACUGAGAGACGAAAGCGAGGGGAGCAAAUGGGAUUAGAUACCCUGGUAGUCC